AAAAAAUUUGGUGCACACUGAAUAACGCGCGUAGCGGGUUAUUUAACAGUGUGGACCACAUUUUUUAUGUUAUUUCGAAUAGACAGAAAAAAUAUGACAGUCAUUUCUUAUAAUUUAAUUCUAAAUUCCAUUUAAAACCGUAGAAAACCAUGAAAAAACGUUAAUGACGUCACGGUCACAUGACUAAAUUAUGUCUAUGGGCUGAUGACA
rnacentral:lncRNA from 1 species